CUACAUCGAUCGUCACCAACCGCGUGAAAAUCGGUUUUCCUAAUUUUUUUUUCUGUGUAGGUACUAAGCGAUGACAUACGUAGUUUAAAUCGAUUUCGUAGUACUAAAUACAAUUAUAAUGUCCAAGAUUUUAUCACCCGAAUAGUUGAACGGCACCGUUACAUACUGUCAAUAUUCUACAAAAUUAAUACUUUGUACCGACCUAUUUUUACAUUCACAUUAUUGUUGAAUGGCUUGGAUCUUUGUUGCUGUAUAUUUACUUCAGAUAAAGAGUUUUCAAGCGGCCAUUGGUCAAAAGUAGGAAGAAACCUCGCUCAUGCAUCCACUCUUUUUAUACAAAUAACUAUUUAUUGUAAUUAUUCACAUCAAGCGACGGAAAUGGUAUCUAAAAUUAGGCUCAUUUUGUACUAAACUAAUAAAAGAAUAAUAAGUUGAUCCAAUAGAAGAAAUUUCAAAUCAAAAACAUCAUUUUUAAGAGAUUUAUCAUUUUGGAUCGAGUUAAUUUUUUUAAGCGUAUAUUCUUGUUUAUUUCUAUGAUUAUUAACAAAAAAAAAUUUUGUAAAGACAGUAAAAUUGAGUGAUUCUAUUUAUGGCUUGAAAUGGGAAGAUUACGACGUAAAACUAGUAAAAAUGUUGAUUAUGAUAAUGAUAAGAGCAAACAAACGGUUCAAAUUUUCUGCUUAUGGUGUGUUUGAUCUAAAUAGGCCGCAUAUGACUCAAAUCAUCAAACGGACUCUUGGCUAUUUGACACUCUUAAGAAGCUUCUCAUGACGAUCUUUCUGCUGCGUAAAAGACACUUUAGUUAAAACAAUAAAAAUAUUUAUUCUUUUUAUAAAGAAACA